rnacentral:rRNA from 1 species
UACAGAGGGGGCAAGCGUUAUUCGGAAUUAUUGGGCGUAAAGGGCGCGUAGGCGGCCUGGCAAGUGGAUGGUGAAAUCCCUCGGCUUAACCGAGGAACUGCCAUCCAGACUGCUUGGCUUGAGACCGGGAGAGGUGAGUGGAAUUCCCAGUGUAGCGGUGAAAUGCGUAGAUAUUGGGAAGAACACCCGUGGCGAAGGCGGCUCUCUGGGACGGUACUGACGCUGAGACGCGAAAGCGUGGGGAGCGAACAGG